rnacentral:rRNA from 1 species
AACGACCGCUGGCGGCAUGCCUAACACAUGCAAGUCGAACGAGACCUUCGGGUCUAGUGGCGCACGGGUGCGUAACGCGUGGGAACCUGCCCUUAGGUUCGGCAUAACUCCCCGCAAGGGGUGCUAAUACCGGAUAAUGUCUUCGGACCAAAGAUUUAUCGCCUUUGGAUGGGCCCGCGUUGGAUUAGCUAGUUGGUAGGGUAAAAGCCUACCAAGGCGACGAUCCAUAGCUGGUCUGAGAGGAUGAUCAGCCACACUGGGACUGAGACACGGCCCAGACUCCUACGGGAGGCAGCAGUGGGGAAUAUUGGACAAUGGGCGAAAGCCUGAUCCAGCAAUGCCGCGUGAGUGAUGAAGGCCUUAGGGUUGUAAAGCUCUUUUACCCGGGAUGAUAAUGACAGUACCGGGAGAAUAAGCUCCGGCUAACUCCGUG